AAUAAUUCUGAUGAGUUAGAUGACUUACAGUAGAAUUAGAGUGAUUAUUCUUAAGCAUUAUUUCCAUAGCAACAGUUUUGUAGCUACAUAACGCCGGGAGGGUAAAAAAGCUCUACAAUCUAUGUCUAAACUUUUCAUGGUGAAAGUCAGAGACUGGGUCAUGUUUCGUUCCUUUUAUUUUUUUUUUAAUUUUAUGGAUGCACACACGAAGAAGAAUUCAUUGACUUUGAUUUACAGGUAGAUUAUUAAAAAGUGGUGUCUGGCAAAUGGGGUGGGAAGGGCACCCCUUGCAUAUAGCUCAGCAAGGCCAAAAAUGUGUCUGUGGGAGCUGGGACUGAAUGAAGACAGAUGCCAGCAUCACUGCUGGAAGCUGCAAGGAUGAGGAACUGCCUCCUGCUUCAGUAAAAGCAGAUCAAAGAGAGCUGGGUAUACUCAACCAUCAGCAUAGGUGGAGUGAGAGCUGGGCACCAGGAGACCACAUGCUUGAUUUUUAAUGCUAGGCUAUGAACAAAAUUUAGGUAAGGGUUUUACUGACAUUAAAAACCUUUAGCUUGAACUCAUUUUGCCUGUGCCCCAAAGAUGGCUGGAUCUGAGCAAGCUCUGACUUUAAGGCUUCACAGUUCCUGGGAUGGCACCUUAUCUAUGAUACAAGGUCUUAAGGCUAGUGCUUGGACUUGGGAUUAGUCUUCAGACUUGCCCAUGUAUCACAGAAUCUUAGAAUAGUUUAUGUUGGAAAAGACCUCUUAGAUCAUUGAGUCCAACUGUUAACCCAGUAUUGCCAAGUCCAGCAGUAAAAUCCUAUUGGUCCGAAGUGAAUGCAGAUCCCUGUAGAAGUCUAUGCAGACAGUAAUGUUUAGACUACAUGAAGGUAAGUGCAAGCUUAAUUCAGAUGUUUAAAAAAAUGUAUAUCUGAAGAUCAAAAUUAAAGGCAAGGGCAUUAUUUGAGUAUAGUCCUUAUUUGUGCAAAUACAGUGUAUAUGGAAGCAGAAGAAAGACUAAACCAGAUAGAGAUAAAAGGUGGCAAACUCUUAUGUCUAAUUAUUCUUUCUCUUUUCUCUUGUUUAGUGAAUUCAGUUUAUGUAAGCAAUGAGAAGGGGAAAAGGCAAGCUCUGAGAGAAAGAAAUAAAAAGAAAAAUGUUGCCUGGUAACUUCUGAUUUAGUUAAGUCUUAACUAAAAUGUGUUUUUCAGCUCCCAUAAUUGCACAUAUUUUGAAAUAGUAUUUGAAAACUUUCCUAAGUUUCCAAUUGCUCCGAAUAUGUUUUACCUCUUUUUUUCCCCAGGCAGAUAGAAACCAUACAGACUGCCGAGACCGUGCCCGCAGCUGUGCCGAGUCCCUGCCAUGCCGUGGCGCAGAGGCGCGGGACCCACGGGCGAACACCUCCCGCUCAGCCCCGGCCCGGCACAAAAGCCCUAGAGCCGCGGCAAAAGCAGCGGCUCCGGCUGUGCGGGAGCCGCUCCGAAAUACAAGCGGCAGCGGUGCCGCAGCCGCGGAGUCCCGGCGCGGGGUGGGGAUGGGCGGUGAGCGUCUUCCCUCUCUACGAAACCCCCCUACACAGCGGAGCGGCGGGGAGCAGUUCCGCCGGAGUCGGGACGGGACCGGAGAUACCAGAAACCGGGGUAAAAACUACCUCCCUUUCCAUAACAAAGUGUUAAAACCAUGCCAAGCCGAGACAGCGCGAACUGCAACAACUGGCAGAGCCCUGCACGGUCUGCCGUGAGCAGAGAGGGAGACAGCAGCCCCCAACCGGCGCUGACAAGAGACCCCCUGUGGGGGGCAAUUCUGCCGUCUACGGUGGAAAACAAAUAACAAAAACCGGGGCCGAGAGGACAGCUCACACCCUUUGUGCAGAGACAGAGCGAAGCUGAGCUGCAAAUAGCUCAGCAUUAAAACAUGCAACACAUGAAGUUACACACAGCCUUCAACCUUGAGGUAAACAGACAAUAAAAGCACAAAAUGACUUUUUGCCUUUAUUUCAAGCUCCAGCAAAAGGCAACUUUGAAGCAAAAAGACAUUGAAAGGCAUCAAAUGACUUCUACUUCUUUACUUCAAAAGGCCAUUCCUAGAUACAGCUACAGAGAAACUGCGUUUGCCUAACCUCUACAUCUGUUUCUUCCACACUAGCCACCUGAGACUGUUUAAAUUGUUAUUAACAUGUUUGUUAAGUUUGUUACUAAAGGCAAAAAGCGGCUAACAGAAAUGGAUGGACAAAAGCUGAAAAUUAACCGCAUUCUAGAAACCACAGACAACUGAAACCGAUUGCUUGCAAAGGAUGCUGAAUUUCAAGCUGUGUUAACAUGUUACAAUGAUAACUCGUUUUAUAUACUCAGUUAUUGUGAUGGUAACUUGGUCUAGUUUUUUACAGGAGAUGCUAAGUUUUAAGUUAUGUUAACAUAUUGUGAUGGUAACUUGUGUAUAUAUCUUUCAGUUUAUUAAUUUAUGGUUUUCUAAAACAAACUCAAAAGGGGGGAAAAAGAGAAAACGCAUGUGCAUAAACAGGUAAGACAUUUAGUUUUGUUAAACCUUAUAUUCUUCAUAUUAAUUCCUUUUCAAAUUUUCAAAACAAGUACAGUUGCCAAACAUGAUUACCAGAAGUGACAGAUUGCAAAGCAUACAACCAAUAACGACUGCAAAACCCUAAACUAUGUGAUUUAAAUAGACACAUAAUAAAAAUUCUAAGUAUGCAUAUGUGAGGAGAGAAUGUAAAGUGGCCACUUCUGUAUGAAUGAAAAAACUGUAUGAAUGAGAGAAACUGUGUAAACAUGUAUGUAUGUAGACUUAGAGAUACUUUGUGCUUCAUGUGCUUUGAACAAAUUACACUUGCAUCACAACACUUGCUCUCUAAGGGCCCUUUUCUUGAAAUGGAGUUGAAUUUCUCCUGGUUACCAAUUACAUGCAGGCCCUUGGGGAAGUGGGAAUCGAUGUUCUGCCCGAUUAUGCAAAUAGUCUCAGGUUAAUAAAGUUGUUUAUCCCAAAUACACACAAACCCUUAGGAAGUAAAAGUUCAAAUUUAUGUCAAGCAAGUUUCAAGGAUUACAGAUAAAGGUUCAAAUAAGUAAGUUUGUUAAGAGACCAAGGUAGGCAGUGAACUGAAUUACUGUGACGCAGUGGUCAUUGUUAAAGGGGGUUUACAAAGUUUAAAAUGUACUGUUAUAUGCAAUGUUCUGUAUUUCCUCAUAAUAAUAAAGAAGAGGGGAGAUGUAGGAGUUGGGUUUCAGGAAGGGUGCUGAACAGCACCCUGGGAGAUGUAUUAUAUUAAUAUAUCACAGUUGUCUAUUUUCCUCUUAUUCCCCUGGAUAAAAAAUUUGUCCUUCAGAAUGCACUAAAAUGGCAUAGGCUACAAGACAUGAACUGACUGAAGAGCAUUUGCAAAAUGCAGCAGUACAGAUCUGAAAGCUGCUGGAGGGGUGUAACUGUUACAUUGCAGCCCUAGUCAGUGUCCUGGUUUUGGCUUGCAUAGAGUUAAUUUUCUUCUUUGUAGCUGGUACAGUGCUGUGUUUUAGCUUUAGUAUGAAAAUAAUGUUGAUAACACACUUAUAUUUUGGUUGUUGCUAAGUAGUGCUUACCGGAAGUCAAGGACUUUUCAGUUUCCCAUUUUCUGCCAGUGAGAAGGUAUACAAGAAGCUGGGAGGGAGCAUGGACAGGACAGCUGACCCAAACUAGCCCCAGGGAUAUUGCAUACCACGGAACAACAUGCUUAGUACAUAAACUAGUGGGAGCCACUACUUGCUGCUCAGGGACAGGAUGAGCAUUGGUCAGCAAUUGUAUGGUGCAUCGCUUGGGUUUCUUGGGUUUUAUUCCUCUCCAAUAUUUAUUAUUAUUGUUAUUGUUAUUUUGUUUCAAUUUUUAGACUGUUCUUAUCUCAACCUUUGAGUUUUAUCUUUUUUUAUUUUUCUCCCCCCUGAGGAAGGAAUAGGGGAAUGAGUGAGCAGCUGCAUGAUACUUAGUUUCUAGCUGGGGUUAAACCACAACACUCAAGAAUUAUUUGGAUAGAUUACUAUUUCCUUUUCCCACAGACUCUACAGGAGGUGACGCUUAUAGCCAGCUGUUACCAGAUGUGGUGCGUGUCGUCGGGCUAACAUCUUGCUCCAUCGUUGCGGGGGAAUCAUUUGGUAUGGGCUCUUGUGUAUGAUCAUCACACUUCUUGAGAUUGCAGUACUCCCAUAAGGUGUUGGGGUCAGUGGUGAAACACCAUGGGCUGUUGUCACCAUCUGGAUUUCUACAAUAGUUGUCCCUCAAAUCCCUGCAAAAAUAUAGUCAAUGGUCAUGCUGUGUAAGACUGGAAGUAAGCAUAGAAAUAUCCUGAUAAAAAGUUGUGGAACUUGUGUACUAUAAGGAUAAAAACAUUUAUUAUUGUUUUCACUUAUUGCAAACACAUUUAUGGCUGUGAUGCUGGUGAAGAGUUAUAUUUCACAUGUACAUCAGAGUCAUGAAUACAUUUAUGCAUAAGGAAACAUAAUUCAAUUACUGGCUGAUAUUCUGGAUGUACCAUGUCAAUAUGCUGAGUACCUAAAUAAAUGCCUGAUAUGCCAAUAA